rnacentral:rRNA from 1 species
CCUACGGGCUGCAGCAGUGGGGAAUAUUGCACAAUGGGCGCAAGCCUGAUGCAGCCAUGCCGCGUGUAUGAAGAAGGCCUUCGGGUUGUAAAGUACUUUCAGCGGGGAGGAAGGGGUUAAGGUUAAUAACCUUAGCCAUUGACGUUACCCGCAGAAGAAGCACCGGCUAACUCCGUGCCAGCAGCCGCGGUAAUACGGAGGGUGCAAGCGUUAAUCGGAAUUACUGGGCGUAAAGCGCACGCAGGCGGUCUGUCAAGUCGGAUGUGAAAUCCCCGGGCUCAACCUGGGAACUGCAUUCGAAACUGGCAGGCUUGAGUCUCGUAGAGGGGGGUAGAAUUCCAGGUGUAGCGGUGAAAUGCGUAGAGAUCUGGAGGAAUACCGGUGGCGAAGGCGGCCCCCUGGACGAAGACUGACGCUCAGGUGCGAAAGCGCGGGGAGCAAACAGGAUUAGAUACCCCUGUAGUC